rnacentral:rRNA from 1 species
UACGGGGGGGGCAAGCGUUGUUCGGAAUUACUGGGCGUAAAGGGCGCGUAGGCGGCCAUCUAAGUCAGACGUGAAAUCCCCGGCUUAACCUGGGAACUGCGUCUGAUACUGGACGGCUUGAGUAUGGGAGAGGGAUGUAGAAUUCCAGGUGUAGCGGUGAAAUGCGCAGAUAUCAGGAGGAACACCGGUGGCGAAGGCAGGUCUCUGGGCCGAUACUGACGCUGAGGAGCGAAAGCGUGGGGAGCGAACAGG